AGGGAUUGUGGGAAGGGGAGUCUGUACGGAGAGAGGCGGAAGCGCCGCGGAGCCACCGGGAUCGGGAUCGCGACCGGGAUCGGGAUCGCGACCGGGAUCGGGAUCGGGAUCAGCGAGGCGGCCCAGACCCCUCCAGGCUCAUCCGGGGAUGUUCCACGGCAUCGCGGGCCCGGCCGGGAUGGGCGCGCCCGGGAACAAACCGGAGCUCUACGAGGAGGUGAAGCUCUACAAGAACGCCCGUGAGCGCGAGAAGUACGACAACAUGGCCGAGCUCUUUGCGGUGGUGAAGACGCUGCAGGCGCUGGAGAAGGCGUACAUCAAGGACUGCGUGUCCCCCAACGAGUACACGGCGGCGUGCUCGCGGCUGCUGGUGCAGUUCAAGGCGGCGCUGAAGCAGGUGCAGGGCGCCGAGAUCGCCUCCAUCGACGACUUCUGCCGCAAGUUCCGGCUGGAUUGUCCCCUGGCCAUGGAGCGCAUCCGGGAGGAUCGGCCAAUCACCAUCAAGGACGACAAAGGGAACCUGAACCGCUGCAUCGCCGACAUCGUCUCCCUUUUCAUCACGGUGAUGGACAAACUGCGGCUGGAGAUCCGCGCCAUGGACGAGAUCCAGCCGGAUCUGCGGGAGCUGAUGGAGACCAUGACCCGCAUGAGUUCGCUGCCGCCCGACUUCGAGGGCCGCCAGAAGGUGAACCAAUGGCUCCAGACCCUGAGCGCGAUGUCGGCCUCGGAUGAGUUGGACGAUUCCCAGGUGCGGCAGAUGCUCUUCGACCUCGAGUCGGCCUACAACGCCUUCAACCGCUUCCUGCACGCCUGAGACCAGUUCGGACCGGUUCGGACCGGUUCGGAGCAGUUCGGACCAGUUUGGACCAGUUCAAACCAGUUCAGACCAGUCCAGACCAGUUCAAACCAGUUCAGACCAGUUUGGACUGGGAGCGCUGGAAGUUUGGGAUAAUAAAUGGGAAGUGCUGGAUCCC